GACAGAGGGUGCAAACGUUGUUCGGAAUUACUGGGCGUAAAGCGCGUGUAGGCGGUCAGGCAAGUCGGAUGUGAAAUCCCCGUGGCUCAACUACGGAAGUGCACCCGAAACUGCUUGACUUGAGUCCCGGAGAGGAAGGCGGAAUGCUUGGUGUAGAGGUGAAAUUCGUAGAUAUCAAGCGGAACACCGGUGGCGGAAGGCGGCCUUCUGGACGAGGACUGACGCUGAGACGCGAAAGCGUGGGGAGCAAACAGG
rnacentral:rRNA from 1 species